rnacentral:rRNA from 1 species
AGUAAUACAUAAGUAACCUGCCCUAGACAGGGGGAUAACUAUUGGAAACGAUAGCUAAGACCGCAUAGGUACGGACACUGCAUGGUGACCGUAUUAAAAGUGCCUCAAGGCACUGGUAGAGGAUGGACUUAUGGCGCAUUAGCUGGUUGGCGGGGUAACGGCCCACCAAGGCGACGAUGCGUAGCCGACCUGAGAGGGUGACCGGCCACACUGGGACUGAGACACGGCCCAG